GAUGAACGCUGGUGGCGUGCCUAACACAUGCAAGUCGAGCGAACCCUUCGGGGUGAGCGGCGGACGGGUGAGUAACGCGUGGGUAACCUGCCCUAUACACACGGAUAACGUACCGAAAGGUACGCUAAUACGAGAUAAUAUAUUUUUAUCGCAUGGUAAAAAUAUCAAAGCUCUGGCGGUAUAGGAUGGACCCGCGUCUGAUUAGCUAGUUGGUAAGGUAAUGGCUUACCAAGGCGACGAUCAGUAGCCGACCUGAGAGGGUGAUCGGCCACAUUGGAACUGAGACACGGUCCAAACUCCUACGGAAGAAAGCAGUGGGGAAUAUUGCACAAUGGGCGAAAGCCUGAUGCAGCAACGCCGCGUGAGCGAUGAAGGCCUUCGGGUCGUAAAGCUCUGUCCUCAAGGAAGAUAAUGACGGUACUUGAGGAGGAAGCCCCGGCUAACUAC
rnacentral:rRNA from 1 species